AGAGUUUGAUCCUGGCUCAGAGCGAACGCUGGCGGCGUGCUUAACACAUGCAAGUCGAGCGAGAAAGGGAGCUUCGGUUCCUGAGUACAGCGGCGAACGGGUGAGUAAGACGUGGGUGAUCUACCCCUAGGGUGGGAAUAACCCGGGGAAACCCGGGCUAAUACCGAAUAAGACCACAGGAGGCAACUCCAGGGGUCAAAGGGAGCUUCGGCCUCCCCCAAGGGAUGAAUCCGCGGCCUAUCAGCUUGUUGGUGGGGUAAAGGCCCACCAAGGCGAAGACGGGUAGCUGGUCUGAGAGGAUGACCAGUCACACGGGGACUGAGACACGGCCCCGACUCCUACGGGAGGCAGCAGUGGGGAAUAUUGGACAAUGGGGGAAACCCUGAUCCAGCGACGCCGCGUGGGUGAUGAAGGCUUUCGAGUCGUAAAGCCCUGUCAGGAGGAAAGAACGCUCCUAUAGCGAAUACCUAUAGGAAGUGACGGUACCUCCAAAGGAAGCACCGGCCAACUCCGUGCCAGCAGCCGCGGUAAUACGGGAGUGGCAAGCGUUGUUCGGAAAUACUGGGCGUAAAGCGCGCGUAGGCGGACUAGCAAGUCAGGGGUGAAAUCCCGGAGCUCAACUCCGGAACUGCCCUUGAUACUGCUAUGUCUGGAGUUCUGGAGAGGUGAGUGGAAUUCCGAGUGUAGAGGUGAAAUUCGUAGAUAUUCGGAGGAACACCAGCGGCGAAGGCGGCUCACUGUCCAGAUACUGACGCUGAGGCGCGAAAGCGUUGGGUAGCAAACAAGGAUUAGAUACCCUGUGAGUCCACCGCCGUAAACGAUG
rnacentral:rRNA from 1 species